UGGGAAUUACAAUGAGAACCUUAAAUCAACUCAUAUGCAAACUCUCUGCUCUUCUUUUUAAGAUGAGGCAAAAGUGGAGUUCUCGGAUUGCGUUGGCAUGCCCAAUACAUUCAUCCCUUCUCAUGUCUCCAUGAUGUCAUGGCCAUUCUUGUUACCUGGUGUUUUUUCUUAUACCGUGACUGUGGCCAACAUCGAACUUGAACUUCUGCCCUUUGAAAGAAAGCACGGUUUGAACCUUCAACCCCAGCUCCUCCAUUCACCACUGAAACUCUACGUCAUCUGCAAAGAAAACGCACAAACUUGGUCCAGUGUAGGAUUCUUCAAAAGUGGGUGACAAAGCUUGUGUGUUAUGCCCCUUGACGUGACUUAUGAAGAUGUUAUGCUAUUAAAUGCCUCGUUCUGUGUUAAUUUGCUGUUGCUGUUUUGUGAUGCAAAAUAAAUGUAUUCGGGAUUGUUUCAGUUUUUCACUGAACCUUCUCCAAAGCCAACUACAGCCCUUGGGAAACUUGCAGAAAGUUCUUGACCUUAAAAUUAAUUUUUAAAAGACAAUAAGUAUUAAUCAUAAUAGGGCUUUUUAGAUGAGGUAGCAUUUGCCUUUCCCUUCCUUUGAAUGAAGAACUGGAGUUUUGAUUGCCCUGUUGGAAUCCUCGUGAAUUGCCAGAACUUUCUUCACUGGGCCGUUGGGUGCACUUUUUUUCUGUCCUUACGUUCGGUUUUCAAGGUUUCAUUUGAACAAAAACCUUAUUAGAAAUGUGUAAUACAAAUUUCCAGUAGUCUUCACUUUCAUGUUUUCUGUUCAUCAGUUCAUUGGUCUUAAAUGCUCACUUGAGAGCUGUCCAGGUCUAUAUCCAAGAAUGUUGUUUAAUGACACCUGACAGAUACAUUGCUUUCAAAAAUCAGUUUGAGGUACCAACUGUGGCAUCCCAGGCAGGGAGCUCAUGGGGUGGUAUGUUGAAUCCAUUAUGGAAAUUUUGAGAAGAGGCGGGUUGGGGGGGUUACCUGCCGAUCAGCAGAAACCAACUCACACCUGCUCCAGGUCCCAACUCUGAGGAAAGCAAACAUAUUUAUAAGAUAAAAUGAGCUGUUACUACAGAAGGGGAAAUGCCGUGCUCACUGCUCUUGGUGAAUUGCCAGUUUCUAUAAUCCAAACCAAUUCAUCUUUUUUAAACAAUAAAUUCAUGAAGAAUGAUCUUGAGUGCCACUAAGAGUGCAAUCUUCCCUCCAUAGCAUCCCCUCCACACCAUCUCUAUCUGCCAACAUUUUCGGACAAAAGAAGAGAAUCCUGACUAUGUACAGUAUAAAUUGUAUUAUAUUUUUUGUACUUAUGUUUUAUGUAAAUAGUUUGUCUCAUGCAAUUGUAUGUGAGCAUUGAAAUAAAUCCUACCAUUUAGGAAACAA